CCUACGGGAGGCAGCAGUGGGGAAUUUUGGACAAUGGGCGAAAGCCUGAUCCAGCAAUGCCGCGUGAGUGAAGAAGGCCUUCGGGUUGUAAAGCUCUUUUGUCAGGGAAGAAACGGUGAGAGCUAAUAUCUCUUGCUAAUGACGGUACCUGAAGAAUAAGCACCGGCUAACUACGUGCCAGCAGCCGCGGUAAUACGUAGGGUGCAAGCGUUAAUCGGAAUUACUGGGCGUAAAGCGUGCGCAGGCGGUUUUGUAAGUCUGAUGUGAAAUCCCCGGGCUCAACCUGGGAAUUGCAUUGGAGACUGCAAGGCUAGAAUCUGGCAGAGGGGGGUAGAAUUCCACGUGUAGCAGUGAAAUGCGUAGAUAUGUGGAGGAACACCGAUGGCGAAGGCAGCCCCCUGGGGUCAAGAUUGACGCUCAUGCACGAAAGCGUGGGGAGCAAACAGGAUUAGAUACCCUGGUAGUCCACGCCCUAAACGAUGUCUACUAGUUGUCGGGUCUUAAUUGACUUGGUAACGCAGCUAACGCGUGAAGUAGACCGCCUGGGGAGUACGGUCGCAAGAUUAAAACGUCAAAAUGAAAUUGAGG
rnacentral:rRNA from 1 species